CAUUUCUUUCUUUCUUCUUGCCUUCUUUCUUUUCUCUUUGUUCUCUCCCUUCUUCUCCAGACUCCAGAGGAUUUUCAAGUACACCUUCUUCCAAAGUUUCAAUCUUGCAGAAUAUUAUUUGUCGAUGAAUCAUUAUAAAAAUUAAUGGCUAAAGCCUAAAUAUAUGGAUUUCUUCGAUCAGGCUGAUCCCAUGAUUUUUCCCUCUCCUCUGCUUCACCUUCCUCAUCGGCGCUCGCCGCCAUCAAUUCAACUCUCACAGCAACAAAAACCCUUAAUUGGAGUUGGAGAAGAUGAAAAGACGAAAAAGAGGGAGGCGGCUCUUCUUCUUAAUGAAUUGUGCAUGUGUUCUACAUCAAAUGAUUCAAAUUUCAAAUUCAAAUUCAUUCCAAGAGGACGAGGUCAGCCCCUUCUGCAUCGGAAGCCAAAUUGGAGGAAUUGACGCUGCAGUACCAAACCAAUGAUUGCAGAUGCUGAUUGUGGACUAUUUAUGCCCUUUGGAUUUUGAGUGGACGGUUAGGAUUAGAAGUCGAGGAGAAACAAGGCUGGAAAGAGACAUGGAGAGGAUCCGGAUCAUUGAACAAAUGUAUUAAAAACAACACACAUAUAUUGAGUUACUGAAAUAUCUUAAUUACACAUUUGUAUUAAAAACGACACACACACAUAUAUUGUGUUACUGCAAUAUCUUAAUUACACAUUUGUAUUAAAAACGACACACACACAUAUAUUGUGUUACUGCAAUAUCUUAAUUACACAUUUGUCCAGGUUAUGUCA